UUGGAGGGCAAGUCUGGUGCCAGCAGCCGCGGUAAUUCCAGCUCCAAUAGCGUAUAUUAAAGUUGUUGCAGUUAAAAAGCUCGUAGUUGAAUUUCGGGAUUAGCAGGUCGGUCGUGCCACUGGUACGUACUGGUCUUGCUGAUUCCUCCCUCUUGACGAGCCGUAAUGCCAUUAACUUGGUGUUGCGGGGAAUCAGGACUGUUACUUUGAAAAAAUUAGAGUGUUUAAAGCAGGCAUGCGCUUGAAUACAUUAGCAUGGAAUAAUGAAAUAGGACGUUCGAUCUUAUUGUGUUGGUUUCUAGGAUUGACGUAAUGAUUAAUAGGGAUAGUUGGGGGCAUUAGUAUUCAAUUGUCAGAGGUGAAAUUCUUGGAUUUAUUGAAGACUAACUACUGCGAAAGCAUUUGCCAAGGAUGUUUUCAUUAAUCAAGAACGAAAGUUAGGGGAUCGAAGACGAUCAGAUACCGUCGUAGUCUUAACCAUAAACUAUGCCGACUAGGGAUCGGAUGAUGUUAAUUUUUUAAUGACUCAUUCGGCGCCUUACGGGAAAC
rnacentral:rRNA from 1 species